CCAAGGGGAUACUUUUCCCUUAUAUUGAAUAGUACAUUUCCCUUAUAUUGUGAGCAGAUUAGUUGUUUUCUACCCUUCCCUUAAAACGCAUUAUAAGUUGCCUCGAUUAGUUUUGGCUUAGUUCAUGUAAAUGAACUGGAAGUAACUUCUGAAUUUGUUUGACUUUGGACUUGCUAGAGCCCCGAAGUUUCUGCUUCUAGCAUUUCUCUUCUUUAAGCAACAUGGCAAGCCCGGUUUCAAAGCAAAGACCUGAGGAAGAAUGUAGAUUGAUCACUGUGAUUUCAAGUCCUUCAGAGCUAGAGCUGCUAAGACUUGAGACAGAUAUAUACAGGGGCCUACAAGAUCCAAUUCAUAAGAAGGCCGAGGCACAUCAAUCAAACGCCAACUCACCUGCUAUUGGCACUAAGGGAGGAAGAAAAAAUAACAUUGUCCCUGAAGGCUCGAGACACGCAAAUAGGAAACUGAGUUUGGGAAAGGUGGUUGUCUCCUUGACGCACACCAUGGUGCCCUUGUCUACUCUCCGUCUUCUUCCUUGGACAAGUAUUUUAUUUCAGGAUUUCGCAAGUGGUCCGUAUUGACAAAUAAAAUGCAUAGAAAAAGAUACUUAUGUUGUUCUAUUCUUGCAGACACCUUAUG